rnacentral:misc_RNA from 1 species
GACUAAGCGUGGUGCGGCGGCGCUUGCCCGUUUGAAGGCGUACGAGGGUGUUCCUCCUCCGUACGACAAGAUGAAGAGGAUGGUCAUCCCUGAUGCUCUCAAGGUCUUGAGGCUUCAAGCUGGACAUAAGUACUGCUUGUUGGGCAGACUCUCUUCGGAGGUUGGAUGGAACCAUUAUGAUACCAUCAAGGAACUCGAGCGGAAGAGAAAGGAAAGAGCCCAGGCUGCGUAUGAGAGAAAGAAACAGCUAAAUAAGCUGAGGAUUAAAGCCGAGAAGGUUGCGGAGGAGAAGCUUGGUCCCCAACUUGAAGUUAUUGCUCCUAUCAAAUACUAAUUUGUGAUUUUGAUCUCAGAAACAGUGAUACUGGAGAAUUGAGUUGCAGUUGAAUUGCAUUUUUCA